rnacentral:rRNA from 1 species
CCUACGGGAGACAGCAGUGGGGAAUAUUGGGCAAUGGGCGCAAGCCUGACCCAGCAACGCCGCGUGAAGGAAGAAGGUUCUCGGGUUGUAAACUUCUUUUAUCCGGGAAGAAGCAAGUGACGGUACCUGAUGUAUAAGCCACGGCUAACUACGUGCCAGCAGUCGCGGUAAUACGUCGGUGGCAGGCGUUUUCCGGAUUUACUGGGUAUAAAGGGCGGGUAGGCGGGAAAGCAAGUCAGAUGGGAAAACCAUGGGCUCAACCUGUUGCCAGCAUUGGAAACUGUUUUUCUUGAGUACUGGAGAGGCAGACGGAAUGCCUAGUGUAGCGGUGAAAUGCGUAGAUAUUAGGAGGAACACCAGUGGCGAAGGCGGUCUGCUGGACAGCAACUGACGCUGAGGCGCGAAAGCGUGGGGAGCAAACAGGAUUAGAUACCCGAGUAGUC